AUUUUCAAUUUUUGUGGUUCAUAAUCUUGAUGCUGAAUCUUAUGGUGAAAUUUAUUGAUAGAGUUAGGGAAAAUAAUCUGUAAAUUAUGAAAGAGCGAAAGCAACAAAGUUUGGCAAUGAAGGCUUGUAUUCGUUUUCUUUCAAUAAUAACAGAACAGUAGAUAUUGGCUCCCUUCCACUACCAGUAUAACACAAGACGAAAGGGAAAAAAAACAUGAAAGAGCAAAGAUAUGACUGAAACAGUCCCCAGAGUAAAUGUCCUCCCGUGCAGAGAAGAAAUUCUGCCCCAAUGAAUUCUUGAUAGCCAAAAAGAUGCCUCCCAACCUUGCCUGAUCCCCCUUAUAUUCUGGAGGUGAAUCUUCUGCUCAAACCCAUUUUUGACAGGUGUUCUUUGUACCCUUUAAUGUACCUCAGCAAUUUCCACACCAGGAGAAUUAGUUCUUCCCUUGAUUCUUUCUUGUCCUUCCUCCUAGAAUAGACCUGAAAAGGCCUAAAUGAAUUCUCUGAUUUGUCUUGGUCCUUCUCUGCUUUUCUUGGGCUGCACUGCAAACUAUAUCUUGGGCUUCUCUAUCAUAUAUUCAUCUAAUAACAAAGAUAAUUUGGACAGGAAAAAGGCAUACAAUUUUAAGACAUUAAUGCGUUAACUUAAUAUCUGCUGCCUAAAGUUUGUUUUUUAAUUUUUAAUAAUCCAAACAUUUGUUGAUUUAAAAUUUUCUCGAGUUAGUUUGGUUCGCUUUUACCAUCAAGAUUAUUUGAGCAUGAAUGACCCAGUAGCAUUUGUAUGUUUGGUACUUUUACCAUGAUUUUGGAUAUUUUAUUUUUUAAAUUUAAGGGUUGAUUAAUUUCAUCAACUGCAUGGAAAUGAUUAAGACUUAGUGAAAGUAUAAAUAUUUUGCGAAGAACUGUGUCAAUUUUGUGGAUUGGUUCUUUUUUUCUAUUUGCCUAUUAGAUGUCUAGUGGAAACAGAAUCGUGUUUGCAUGGAAUUUUUUUUAUUAUUCUCUUUUGGAUCUAAUAAAUAUUGAUUAAUGCAUUCCUUGUCUUAUUUUUGAAUAAUGAUGCUUCUGCAAGUAGAUCUGUAGAUGUUUUUGUGAUGUCUAGUUAGCGAAGGUACUAUAAUUGAUUUCUAUUGCAAAAUUCAUGGAUUUUGUUUAACUGUGGUGAUAAUGUGUCAGUAGAGCAGAGUUCUUAAUCACGGAAAUUAGGGAGAAAUAGAGAAAGAUUAGGAAGAAGGAAUAGAAGAAGAUAUAAAGAAGAAAAUUUGCAUUGAUAUUGAUUCUUGAAUGAGGUAUACAGGCUUCCCUUCAUUUUAUACACAAUCUAUUGUUGGUAACUGUCAAACAGACAUACUAACUGAUUACAGCAGAUUCCAUAAUAGUUCUAUAACUACUUCCUUCUUCUCUAUUGAUACUUAUAUCACUGCUCCAAGAAAUUGCAAUGUCUAUCAAGGUUUUCAGGAGCUCAGUAAUUUUCCAUGUACUGGAAAGGCAAUUCUGUAGCAUGCAAGAACCUCAUUAAGGCCUUGACAGAAAUUGUGGUGUUCCUGCACAAUAUUGAAAUGCUCAAGAGAUUCUGAAAUUUUUCCUAUAAAAUAAAGUUACGUUCAUUAUCAUCUUUAUUACCAGAAUCAAUAGUAGCACAACCAAUAAUAUCAACCUCUUUCUCUUCUCCAUCAGCAACAACAUCAACCUCUUCCUUUUCUCCAUUACCAAUAAUAUCAACCUCUUCCUCUUCUCCAUCACCAACAAUAUCAAUUAUCAUCUUUACUACCAGAAUCAAUAAUAGCACAACCAAUAAUAUCAACCUCUUCCUCUUGUCCAUCAGCAACAACAUCAACCUCUUCCUUUUCUCCAUUACCAAUAAUAUCAACCUCUUCCUCGUCUCCAUCACCAACAAUAUCAAUUAUCAACUUCUUCCUCCUCUCCAAUAUCUUGAAUUGCAAUUCCACAAUCAUUUUCUUUUAUAGGCUUCAGGAAUGGACUAUAUUCUGGUACAGAUCUAAAGAUUGCAACAUUUCCCAUUUUCAUUUGGAUUUGUUCACCUAAUUUUUUCAAUCUUUGACCCUAUUCUUUUAGCAUCUCAUUUUGUCUUUAAAGUCCUCUAUCUAAAACUAAGAUACAAUAUUUCUCUUUUCUAAAGUUAUUGUCCAUAGUUGGUUUACUUGAUUGUGUUCAGAUUCUGGUUCUGAAAGAACAAAAAUUUCAAGGAUUCCUAGAAGCAGGUUAUUGAGAUGCUGGAAGUGGAAGAAAAGAAUAGAGGAAAACAGAAAGCAACAGAAGAAAGAAUAUGCUUCAAGAAUUUAAGAAAGAAAAGAGUUUUCAUAUGAAAUAAAGGAGUGCAAAAACAUGGUUUUGCCAAGAAGAAGGAAUAGAACAAGAACAGAAGGAAAACAAAGGGAAGAAAAUUCAGGGAAAGAAAGAAUACGAAUGAGGAGGGAGAAGAAGAAGAAGAAGAAGAAGAAGAGAAAUAGAGAAAAGAAUAGAAGAAUAAGAAGAAAAAGAAGAAGGAGAAGGAGAAACCGGUAACUUGGGAAGACUGCUACUGAUCUGCACCUGAUUGCGACUCCCAGAAAUUCAUGUUGGAGGAAACCCAUUCUCCAGCGGAGCUCUGAUACCUAUUGUCAUAUAUCAAAAUUCUUAGUCACAGAAAUCGGGGAGAAAUAGAGAAAGAUUAGGAAAAAGGAAUAAGACAAGAUAGAAAGAAAAAACAAUCUGCAUUGAAUUGAUUCUUGAAUGAGGAGUACAUGUGCCUUCUCUUCAUUUUAUACCCAAUCUACUAUUAGUAACUAUCACACACAUACUAACUUACAAUAGAUCUCAUAACAGUUUUAUAACUACUUCCUCCCUCUCUAUUGAUACUUAUAUUUCCCUCACUAAUUCAUUAACUACUCUACUCCCUAGUCAUAACAAAAUGGUAAGUGGUGGGCAAAGAAAUUGGAAAAGUGAACUACAAGCUUGAAACCAAGAGAAUCAAGCUAGAAAAUUCUCAUCUUAACUAGUAGAUCCUGCGUUUAGCAUUUGUUUUGGGAAAACUAUGUAUUUUUGUCCUGAUUAGAUGCUAUUUUUUCUUACUAAAAACUCUAUUAUUUAGGUUUGAUUAAUAUUUUGAAUUAGAUUUAAAUAACAAAAUUGAUUUUUUUCUCUCGGAACAAUAGUAGAACGAAUUUCCAACUAGAACAACUCGAUUUGAUCUAAAUAAAAAUUGGUUUGAUUGGUUAGGUUUUAAUUUUAUAAUUUCUUGAACCAAACCCUUUACUUCACGAUUUGGUUACACCCUGUAAAUUAUAUCAUAUAUGAAACUGUUGAAAAAUUAAGAAUAUGGGAUCUUCUAGAUUGCCUAUGAAAUUUGGGGGUUUAUAAAUGUGGUAUCCAAUGGGAUGGAAUGGCUCUAAAAUGACCAAAUCAUGUUUAUGUGAUCAGAUCGAGUUGACCAACUUGUGCUUCUUUAUUACAAAACUAAUUAAGGUGUGCAAUAGGUAAAAAAUAAAAGACAGGAGUUUCUCCCAAAAUGAAAAAAAAGGUGUGCAAUGCAUCAAAAUAAAAGAUGGGUGUGAACUAGAUAUUUUCCAUGUAGCAAAAGGGCUAACCUAGGCCAAGGCAAUAUUGAUCUUGUUCAAUUGCAUUUAUCAUCUUAUAAAUAAUUCUAACAUCUUGUUGCUUUUCAUUGCAAG
rnacentral:lncRNA from 1 species